rnacentral:rRNA from 1 species
UACGUAGGGUGCAAGCGUUAAUCGGAAUUAUUGGGCGUAAAGCGUGCGCAGGCGGUUAUGCAAGUCAGAUGUGAAAUCCCCGGGCUCAACCUGGGAACUGCAUUUGUGACUGCAUGGCUAGAGUACGGCAGAGGGGGAUGGAAUUCCGCGUGUAGCAGUGGAAUGCGUAGAUAUGCGGAGGAACACCGAUGGCGAAGGCAAUCCCCUGGGCCUGUACUGACGCUGACGCACGAAAGCGUGGGGAGCAAACAGG